rnacentral:rRNA from 1 species
UACGAAGGGGGCUAGCGUUGCUCGGAAUCACUGGGCGUAAAGGGUGCGUAGGCGGGUCUUUAAGUCAGGGGUGAAAUCCUGGAGCUCAACUCCAGAACUGCCUUUGAUACUGAAGAUCUUGAGUUCGGGAGAGGUGAGUGGAACUGCGAGUGUAGAGGUGAAAUUCGUAGAUAUUCGCAAGAACGCCAGUGGCGAAGGCGGCUCACUGGCCCGAUACUGACGCUGAUGCACGAAAGCGUGGGGAGCAAACAGG